rnacentral:rRNA from 1 species
AUUGAACGCUGGCGGCAGGCCUAACACAUGCAAGUCGAGCGGAGCGGCGGACGGGUGAGUAAUGUCUGGGAAACAGCCCGAUGGAGGGGGAUAACUACUGGAAACGGUAGCUAAUACCGCAUACCCUAAGAUGUGCCCAGAUGGGAUUGGCUAGUUGGUGGGGUAAAGGCCCACCAGGGCGACGAUCCGUAACUGGUCUGAGAGGAUGAUCAGGCACACUGGAACUGAGACACGGUCCAGACUCCUACGGGAGGCAGCAGUGGGGAAUAUUGGACAAUGGGCGAAAGCCUGAUCCAGCCAUGCCGCGUGUGUGAAGAAGGUCUUCGGAUUGUAAAGCACUUUAAGUUGGGAGGCGUUACCAACAGAAUAAGCACCGGCUAACUUCGUGCCAGCAGCCGCGGGAAUAAC